rnacentral:lncRNA from 1 species
GAAUGGCUUAAAACAACAGAAAGUUAUUGUCUGACAGACAGACCUAAAGGCCAGAAAUCCAAGACCAAGGUGUUGACAGGCCCAUGCACUAUCUGAGGAUGUUGAGGAAGCACCUAAGUGUUCCUAGCUAUACUGGUAGGCUCAGGUGUUCCUUGGUUAGUACCUGCCCCUCACCAAUACCACCUCUUCUCCCUGCAUGUCCUCAGCCUCUUCCCUCUGUGUCAUAUCCAUGUUUCCUCUUUUUAUAGACACUGGCCAUAUUGAAUUAUGGUCCACCCUACUGUUCUCAUUUUAACUUGAUUACCUCUAUAAAGAUGAUCCUUCUGAAUUGGGUUGUACUCUGAGAUACUGGGAGUUAAACAACUCAUUAAAUAUAACAUCCUCCUUCAAAAGUAUCUAUCCUAUAAGACAGUUUGAAAAAAAUGAAUCCAAGAUGGAAAAGCACAUUCACAUUAAGGAUAAGCUGGAUUUAAAGAGAACAGCUUUACAUCAACCUUUGAUUUUGACUCAUCCAGGUGAAACGCAAGCUUUGUUGAGUGCAUAAAAGAUUUACAAAUAUUUAUUUGUUUUUCAGUCACUUGCUGCCACCAUGCACAAACAUGAUUAAGAUGAUUGCAUUUUUUAUAUCAUUUCCUCAUGUCUUCUACUUUGCUCUGCAAGUUCUUUCUACCAUCAUAUGGCAUUCUUGCUGCAUGAGAAUAUUAUGAAAGGAAGACCUGUGAGUUCCUCAUAUGCUUAUUUGUAUGCUCUGCUUUUCUUUUCUUUUGAAAUAAUCAUCGUAUUCUCAUGAACAAUAAGGAUAAAUGUGAGUUUUGUGAUUGCUCUAGUUUGGAUGUUGAAUGUCCCCCAAAAGUCCACAUGCCAAAUGUUGGGUCCCCAGGUUGGCACUAUUGGGAAAUGGUGGAACCCUUGGGAGUUGAGGCCUAGUGGGAGUUAUUUGGUCACUGGAAGCAUGCCUAUGAACAGGAUUUGGGGACCCUGGUAUCUUCCUCUUUCUUGCUUCUUGGUUUAUGAUGUAAGUGAUUUUGCUCCACCUAUACCCCCCAAUAUUGCAUCUACACACCCCCACCAGAGGUCCAAGGCAAUGGAGUCACUUUAUCAUAGACUAGAACCACCAAGACUAUGAGCUAAUUAAGGUGUUUCUUUUAUAAGUUAAUAAACUCAGUUACUUUUUUUUAAACCGCAUCAGGAAUCUAACUUACACAGUGACUGAAUAGAUUCCCUCUGGUUGGAAACAAAAGGCAUUGAUCAUUGAGUUAAUAGAAAGUGGAAGGGAAUUUCCUUCCUUCAAGCUGAAGAGUUUAGUGUCUACACUGUUCAUUGACACAGAAAAGGCGUUGUUUAAAUCUGUAAUGAUACAGACCUGAGAAAAAUAGCUAUCAUAAGGAAUGACAGAAAAUAAAACACAUGCCAUUCUCUGGGCACGUGUUAUAUGUGACACCCAGCCACACACCUGUGAUAGGAAAGAGUUUACCAAAUGAAGGAAAGUCCUUUGGUGCCAAGAUGGGCGAGAGAGGUGCUGAUCCACAGAUGUCAAUAUGAUCUCACAGACUGGGCAAUAGGCUGUAGUCAGGGUUGGCAGAUGACUAAGCUCAGCUUGCCUGGCUUCCACUCCAUCUUCUGGACAUCUUCCUUCCCAAUCCUUAUCAGGGAAUUUCCAUCAAUCUGCAUGCAGGAGGUGGCUCCAGUUCCAGGUGGAAAGCAUGUAGCAUCUCCCUUAGCCACUUGCCUCACGGCCCACACUCAGGUGCAGAAGUUUGAGCCCAGGAGCCACAGGCUUCAGCUCUACUGGCCGGAUUUCAUCACUGAAAGUAAAGAAACAAGAAUAGGGGGCAUCUCUGCAUAUCAUGCAGAGAGAUCUGGGGUUGUUCAAUUCAAAGAAGAGAAUGUCUGG